GCAUCGAUAGCUCAGUGGGAGAGCGGUAGGGCGUUAACUCAUGCGGUCCGGGACCGAGCCCCGGUCUAUGCA